rnacentral:rRNA from 1 species
GACGAACGCUGGCGGCGUGCUUAACACAUGCAAGUCGAACGGAAAGGCCCUGCGUUUGUGGGUUGCUCGAGUGGCGAACGGGUGAGUAACACGUGAGUAACCUGCCCUUGACUUUGGGAUAACUUCAGGAAACUGGGGCUAAUACCGGAUAGGAUCUCCUGCUGCAUGGUGGGGGUUGGAAAGUUUCGGCUGUUGGGGAUGGACUCGCGGCUUAUCAGCUUGUUGGUGGGGUAGUGGCUUACCAAGGCUUUGACGGGUAGCCGGCAUGAGAGGGUGACCGGCGACAUUGGGACUGAGAGACGCAGCAGACGCCUACGGGAGGCAGCAGGCGGGAAUAUUGCACAAUGGGGGGAAGCCUGAUGCAGCAACGCCGCGUGCGGGAUGACGGCCUUCGGGUUGUAAACCGCUUUCGAAUGUGACGAAGCGUGAGUGACGGUAAUGGGUAAAGAAGCACCGGCUAACUACGUG